AUGACGCAAGAACAAUAUCAAAUGUCCAUGAUGGGUGAGCUGAAGUUCCUUCUUGGUCUUCAAAUUCGUCAGCAAAGCAACGACAUCUUCAUAUCUCAAGAGAAAUACCUCAAAGACUGCCUGAAGAAGUUUGGAAUGCAAGACUGCAAGGGAUACAUAACGCCAAUGCCAACCAAAAGCCAUCUGGGCCCUGAUGACAAUGGUAAAGAGUUCGAUCAAAAGGUAUACCGCUCCAUGAUUGGUUCUUUACUCUAUUUAUGUGCAUCUAGGCCAGAUAUCAUGCUUAGCGUUUGCAUGUGUGCCCGAUUCCAAGCGGCACCAAAGGAGUCGCAUCACUUAGCUGUGAAGCGAAUUCUUCGAUAUUUGGCUUACACCCAACACUAG
rnacentral:rRNA from 1 species